AUACUUACCCAGCAAGGAAGAUACCGUGAUCACAAAGGUGGUGUUCCCAGAAUGAGGCUUAUCCAUUGCACUCUGGAUGUGCUGACCCUUGCGAUUUCCCCAAAUGUGGGAAACUCCACUGCAUCGUUUGUGGUAGGGGGCACUGCGUUUGCGCCCUCCCCUG